rnacentral:rRNA from 1 species
AGAGUUUGAUCAUGGCUCAGGACGAACGCUGGCGGCGUGCUUAACACAUGCAAGUCGAACGGAAAGGUCUCUUCGGAGACACUCGAGUGGCGAACGGGUGAGUAACACGUGGGUAAUCUGCCCUGCACUUCGGGAUAAGCCUGGGAAACUGGGUCUAAUACCGAAUACGACCAUGAGACGCAUGUCUUUUGGUGGAAAGC